UACGUAGGGGGCAAGCGUUGUCCGGAUUUAUUGGGCGUAAAGGGCGCGUAGGCGGCUUUUCAAGUGACGGGUGAAAUCCCUCGGCUUAACCGAGGAAGUGCGCAGGAAACUGGCGAGCUUGAGUGCUGGAGAGGGUCGCGGAAUUCCCGGUGUAGAGGUGAAAUUCGUAGAUAUCUGGAGGAACACCGGUGGCGAAGGCGGCGUUCUGGACUGCAACUGACACUGAGAAACGAAAGCCAGGGUAGCAAACGGG
rnacentral:rRNA from 1 species